rnacentral:tRNA from 1 species
GACCGCGUAGCUCAGUUGGGAGAGCGUUGGGCUAGUAUUCCAAAGGUCGUAGGUUCGAAUCCCACCUUGGCCA